CCUUCUUCUUGGCAGGGGUCAGGCCUGUGGUCCUGGUCCCUGUAAUAUAUGGAGGCAGAGGGAAAGGGCUCCAGCCCCUUCAGUGUCAUGUCUUGGGUGCCGACAAUUUUCAAUCUAGUCUGUUGGCUCCAUCCUCAAGCACAGGGACAGGG